CAGAUUUCCGGACGUGCAGAAACAGACAGGAGGGAGGGCCGGUGGUCGCUGGCUCUCCCGAGCAGGAAAGGGGGAUCCAAAAACAAGCCCGUGGAGCAGCAGCCAGACCAACAGCAGCCGCAGGACAUUGUUUCUCUCCCUCUGUGCCCCCGUCCCCACGCAACCCCAGAUCCAUUUACACUUUACAGAGCAUCGUGCAACAAGUCACCAGGGUGGUCCAUUCGUGCUGCGGAUUUGCCUGCCGUCCUUGGACCCCAGUCGCCUGCUCCACUGUCGCUGCAGGGAAGAGCAGCACAUGUCAGUUCUCACCACGUGGGCGCAUGCAGGGGUACACUGCGGAGGUGCGGACCCUCACCUGAGGCUGCAGGACCACCGGUCCAGAAGCCCGGAUGCAUCCUGGAGCCUGGGGAAAGAGUCUGUUUUGAAUCCUCCAAAGUAACGCUGCUGCAGACCAUGAGCAAGACAGAGGGAAUGCCAGCCUGCGCGUGUGAUCUCGAAACAUGGAUGUUUUCGGUCUAGGCAUCUUACACUGAGCUUCUCUACUGCCUCCCUUUCUACUCAAGCAAAACCUGUGUGAAAAGGCCUACUGGGAAAGACCUGACUGCUGAUGGUUCUGCACUGGGAUGAAAGCACAUGGUACAGGUAAGCAUCUCCAAAGUCUUUAACCAGAAAGAAUUACCAUUUAGUUGUGAAGUUCCCCACAGCAGCAGUGGGGAUGUGCCGGUGGUAUCUCUUCGUGCACAAACAUAUACAUAAUGAAUAUAUAUCUACACAGUCACAUAUUCUUCCUCUAUGUAUUCUUCCUGUCUCUUUUCAGAGAAAUAGAAUUAUUGCUUUUUCAGUGUGAAAAAUCAUUUCUACUGAUUUUGAGAUUACUGAUAAGGUUAGAUGAUAAGGCAUUGGUAAGGGGGGCCGCUGAUUCUGGUCUGGCAUGUAGCUCAGUGUUUUGCCAAGCAUGCUUGAAAUUGGGUCAGUCCCCAGUACCAGUACUACAAAAAAGGGUAUGUGGAGGAUAAUUCCUAAGGUGAUAUUUAUAAAUUCAGCCAGAAAGAAGGUCAUCAGACGAUAGUAGGGAACAAUACAAUAUAUACUGUCAUCAGCCUUUGGUUCUUAACAGCCAACAUCUUUCCAUAGCAGCAUAUUUUCAUUUACAAUGUAAUUUUGGAUGAUUAUAUAGCAUACCAUUGAACAGAUUUGCUAAGAUUCAUUCAGUUGAUUGCCUCUACCUAGACAUUGAGUUGUCUGUAAGUUUUUUGCUUUUAUGCUACCAGAAAAGUUCUCGUAGCUCUAUAUUAGUUCCCAUUACUAAUGUCUUCCUUAGGAUAAAUGCUUAUCAGUAAACUGUUGAAUUGAUUUUAAGACUUUUAAGUUUCCAAUUUUAAGACUUUUGAUACUUGUUGCUAAAUUACUUUCCAAUAAAUCAUGAGUUUCUGUUUCCAGAGGAAAUGUUUGAGAGUAUCUAUGUCCACACAAUUUUCUAGUGCUGAGAAUUCAGGAAACAAAAAAAGGCUUUGCAGGGCCGGGGAUUUAGCUCAGUGGUUCUGCCCCCUGCCUUGCUGGCACAAGGACCCAAGUUCGAUCCCCGGUACCAAAAAAAAAAGGCUUUGCAAAUUGAUUAUGAGGAAUGGUGACUCUGUGUGUGUGUGUGUGUGUGUGAUGCACAUGCAUUCAAGAGAGAAUUUAUUUGUAAAUCAUGCUGGUUUGAAGAGCCUUCCUCUUGUAGAGAGUAGCAGGCUCGAAAUGCAGCAGAUUUUGACAUUUGAGAAGUAAUACUAAAUCAAAAAGGAGUGGAAGAUCCCUAGGAAAUUUCAAGUUCUUCGUUUUCUGCCAAAUAUUUUUAGACAAUUGUGAAAUCACUGGAUAGCAAUAAUUUUCUAGUGGAAAACUAAGUUUCUCUUUUAUUAAAAAGAAUAAAAAGAUAUAUUUCAAAAAGCCUUCAUAUAUGUUUAUCCGGAGCUGUACUACUCACUAGUUCAGUCUGUGUGUGUGUGUGUGUGUGUGUGUGUGUGUGUGUGUGUGUGCACGUGUGCAUGUACACCCAGUGUUGGGAUGUGAUUAAGUAUAACCAUGGCAGCCCUGCAGGACACAGGGCUGGGGAUCCACUGGGAAGACUGAGGGUCCAGAAGGCCUGGGCUCAGAUAGCAGCUCUGCUCUUCUCCGGAGGUGUGACAUUGGGCAAGUCUGCAGUUGUAAAAUUUAGAUAAAAAUAGUAUCCAUCUCAUGGGAUGUAGUUUCAAGUGAAUAAACAUGUAUUUAAAAAUCACCAAACAUCUUAUAUCAAGAGAAUGUUUAAUGAUAUAGCAAAAGGAUCAUAAUAGACGUAAACAAAUAUAAAGUAUGAUAUUGACCAUGGCAGAAUCCCAGCCUUGUAUGAUUAUUCUUCCCUUCCUCUUUUUUUUUUUUGGUCCUCCUCUGCUGUCUGAAAACAAGUUGAAUGUAUUUCUAAAUGACUUUGGUUUGCAUUCAGAGAGUAAUUCCAGUGUUGGAGAAACUGCCCAAUUGAAGUCUUCAAGUAAGAGACCCAUUUAACCCAGGGCUUUGAGGGGAAACCUGGGGUCAGCCCCUUGGGAGAGCAGAGCCACAUCCCAUCCCUCACACCCUGGUGGCACAGCUGAUGUCCUGGGCCAGGCCCGCCCAGGGCCUCUUGUGGACACCACAGGAAGAGUUCCUCACUGUCUGGCACCAUAUGUGAUUUGUCCUACUUGGCUCAGGUCUUUCUUCCAUUACUAACUAAGCUUCAUUUCACUAAAUAAAUGAAAGAAGGGUAGAUUAAGAGCCCCUCUGCCCCAGCUCUUUGGCAAUGCACGCUUUAUCCUGCAUAAACACAAAAGCAAAAACUGUGGCGUUCUGAGUUCCACCACUCUUUGGCUGCAUCUUAAGGUUGGAAAGUGGAAGGACAAUGGGCCAAAGAAUUGUUUGGCACUAAGAGACAAACACGAGGCCACUUGGAUAGCUUCGGCCACUGCCUUUCCCUGGUUUCCCUGCAACUAGCUUGUAUCUAUAGACAUUGCAUUCAUUUGGGUCCUAAAUUCCAGUCUAAUUUGAACAGCUCUGUAUUUCUCAGAUAAAAGGAACAUCUGAAUUCCUAAUUAAAACAUUUGAGCAUAAGAAUUCCUCUUUAAUGGGUCAUAAAUUAUUCUCCUUUAAGUGACUAUGAGGAUGAAUAAGAAAAUAAAAUUUGUAUUUGUACGCGUGUAUGUAUUAAUUCAGCAAAAUGAAUGAGGUCAUAGAAGGAGAGAGGACAACAAAUGUCUUGGCAAAUAUUGGCCAGGAAAAGAGUUCCUAAUGUUUUUCCAGACUCGGAUGAGGCACCUCAUGAAUGUAGGUAGAAGGGCCGUAUGUAGCCGAGUAAGAAUGGUAAUAAGACUACCAUAUGGAACAUUUGGUAUUUGGAUAGCACUUAGCUUCUGGCUAAGCUGCAGAAUCAAUAGAGACUCAAACAGAGAGGAAGAAACAAUUCUUUCGCUGUGGAUCGCUAGCUGGAAUGCAGAAAUUCAGACAACACUGAUUAUCAAGGGUUUACCAGGAUAAAUUUCUCCAGGAGGCAGGACAGUGGGUGAUUUAACCAUAUCUAGUAGUGUUCUGGCCUCAUGUGUGGUCCAGCAGAGUUUGGUUGUUUCCUUAAGCAUUGUUAUCCAAACCAUUUUUGCAGCCUGCAAGUCCAGGGCCAAACCAUUGCUGAAAACUUAUUCCACAGGGAGCCAUAGGAACUUUAGGGGACCCCAGGACGUGACCAAUAGAGAAUUAAAACCAAACUUUUGAGUCAUCAGCAAAGGUGACAGUGUCUUUAGAUUUAUCUCAUCCAGCCCUUUGUCACUCAUUUAUUCACUUGGGAUGUGCUUCAUUAGGAGCUGCUGUUGCUCUCUAGGGUGCAGGGCGUUGGAGAUUCCAAGGGAACAGGGUAGAUGUGGGGUCUGCACAGUCCUAAGAGAGAGGGAGCUCAGUGGGAUCGUUCUGCAGGGAGACUUGGAAGGGAUCUGAUGAGAGAAACUGGAGAAACCAGCAAAGACAUUGAUGUGGAAGACACGAAGUAGCGAGAACUCAAGAGCAGUCAGGGGAUGGGCAGUGAGGUUGUGAUUGUUUACAGCAGCACCAGGUCGGGAAACAAAGAAGCUAGGGAGAGAAGACCACUGUAAACUUUCCUGGAAUAUCUAAGUGCCAGGCCAGUAAAGGUAGUGCAGCUCUUGAUCUUUUAAUUUAGAUAGCCUAAUAAAUGCAUCAUGUUGACAGUACAUAUUAAGAAUAUGAGAAACGAAUCUUUUAUUUUCUAUGACUGUGUAUACAUGUUAGAGGAGUGGAUGUCAUCCUCUUCUGCCAUGGUCUGUGGUAAUAGCAUAUCUUCCUUCAUCCUCAACAGAUACGUACCAAGGGGGUUGCUUGAAAAAUGUAUAUAGUUCUGAACCUUAUGUAUACUAUGAUUUUUCCUAGACAUCACUAUCUGUGAUGAAAUUUCAUUUAUAAAUAGGCCCAGUAGAAGAUUAAUGGCAGUAAUAAAUACGGAACGAUUCUGUCAAUAUAAUGUAAGAAAAAUUUGCAAUUUGGGGCUGUUGUUAAGUAGCAUCCAGGUCACUUGAACACAAGCACUGCAGCACCACGCCAGUGGGUCUGAUAACCCGGGUGACUGCCGAGUGCCUAAUGGGGUCAGCAUAGUCAGUGUGGGUGCAUGGGACCAAGGGAUGAUUCUCUUUUUGGUGGAAAGGAAUGAGAUUUCAUCACGCUGCACAGAACUUAGAAGUUGUUUAUUUCUGGAAUUUUUAAACUUAGAAUCAUUUAAACAUUUAAAAGUUACGAAUUUAAAACUUAUGCAUUAUUUCUGGAAUUUUGUAUUUAAUAUUUUCAGGCUGCAGCUAACUGUGGGGAACUGAAACCAUGGUAAACAAAACUGCAGAACAGGAAGAAUUCCUCUACUUUCUUCCUUGAAUCGCCACACAAAUGAAGAAAUGGGGUGACUGCUUCGCCAGAAUGUACUUGCCUUACUCUUUUAUUAACUGUAUCUUUUCCUACUUUAUCCACUGUAAUUUACAUUACAGAGUGAGGUUAAAUAUAAAAUCAAUUCUACCAUUUGUACACAAGCAUAAUUAACUUUAGUUAACUCUAAAGACAGUCUGGGUUCCAGAUCAAAAUAGUGUCUGUCUCUCUCUAGUUGUUACAUCUUGGCCACUUUAGUAACAUUGUGUCUGUGACCUGGUUCUUCUCCCCUCUUCCCCUCCUUCCUGGGUGCUUGUAGUGAGUGGGCUUUUAAAUAGUAGGAUCCACACAGAGAUGUCUUUGCUCACCUUUGGAAUUAUACAUGGCUUUGGUAAAAGCGAUGGUUUUUCGCUUUAGUUUUGCUAUCAGUAAUGGGCCUUUUUCUCUCUUAUGUCACUCUGUCAGCUGCUGUAUUCUGGGGCUCAAACAUUUACCAUGAAAAAAACAAGCUUUUUUCUUUUCUUUGACAAGCCCAGUUUAGUCACGCAUCCUUUGAAUCAUGAGCAUUCUGGAACAUAGGGCCUUUUCCACUCAGGGAUUGGCAAAGUCCAUUUCUAUCGUUAAGAAAACCAUAUUGAUGUCCACUAAAUAUUUAAAACAGACCUCUCCCCCAAGUUCAACCUUCAACAUAAAUAUGUUGUUCACUUUUUCAUUGCAAGUCUUUCAGUCUGGAGACAGCAUCCAUAAUUCAUAGCCAGUUUGGGGAAAGGCAUUAUUUUAAGACACUUAAUGAUAUUUUUCAUGGCAAAAGGAAAAAAUGUAGGGUCAAAGAUUCAAGAGUACAUAGUGUUUCAUAUGUAGGCAUAGUUUUUCAAAAGUCUUUUGGAGUACAUUAGAGUUUCUAAAAUAAUUUACCAGCCUUCUCUAUGAAGCAUUUUAUUCUCAUCGAACUCAGGACCUUGUGCUUGCGAGGCAGGCGCCUGAAUCACUGAGCUAAAUCCCCAUCCCGAAACAUUUUAUUCUUUACAACUUCUAUAAGUAAUAUGGUUUAUAGUGUCAGGAUAGAAACAUACACAUAGUUGUAAUAACUUUCAUGAAGUACAGUAGAAUAUUUUAUUAUCUGAUGGAGUAAAACACGUUAGAAAAUGUUUAAUAUAAAAAUCUACCACUGGCCAGGGGUUUAGCUCAGUGGUUUUGCCGCCUGCUACGCAAGCGCAAGGACCAGAGUUCAAUCCCCGGUACCAAAAAACCAAACAAACAAACAAAAUAAGAGAUGCAUUGAGUCCACCAGAAAAAAAUCCACAUUCUUCCGAGUGUGGGCUAAGAAAAAACAAAAAAGAAAAAAAAAUCUACCAUUGAGGGCUGGGGAUUUAACGCAGUGGUUCUGAUGCCUGCCUCGCAAGCACAAGGUGCCAAGAUCGAUCCCCGGUACCAAAAAAAAAAAAUCUACCAUUGAGCCUUUCCACAUUGGGACCCUAAAGCAGAUAGAUGGCAGCUGGGAUUUCCUUCCCCAGUACAUGAAUGCAGAUUUCCACGCAGGCCAAAGGUACUGUUCAAAGUCUGAAUCCUGACUAGAGGUGGAGAUAAUCCUCCACUACAGCUUCAUCAAAAAGACACCCUGUGGUACUUUUCAAAUUAUUUUUCUCUUAGUGUUCAUCAAAUGAAAUGAAGCAUUUACAUACCUUUUCUAAGUUCUAGAAUAUAAAUUUUAUAACUGAUAAUAGAGUAAAAGGGGACAGAAAAAUGAUUCAGCCCCUUUUCCCCCUAACUCAAAACCCAACACCCCAUCGUUCGUUCAUUAUUAAAACAACUAUUAGAAGAUUUGGAAAUAAUACAUAGAAUGACUUGGGAGUAAUUUUUUUAAGCUAAGAAGAGACAGUUGGAGGCCAAGCAGCAUCGAAAAGGAUCAUUUCUUUAGAUUAAAUGAGAAGUACGUCACUGAUAUUUAGGUUUUCACUAAAUGUUUUAGUAAACUUGGGAAGGUAUCUUCUUUGCCUUGGGAGUUAUAUUUUGCCCCUCUGUUUUCUUCUCUAACAGAUUCUUUCUUCUCUGUCCUUCAUUUUUCUUUUCUUUAUAGUGGGGCAGUAAAUCACUGUUGGAAGUUAUGUACUUAGAGACCCUAGGGCCUUGAACCUAUGGCACGUGUGUGCCUUAGGAGGCACAUAGAGCCCUCUCUCUGAAGACAUCACAGAUUGUAUGGUUGUUUUCUUCUAAACUAAACCUCACUUUUCAGGUUUCACUGCGGUGUUGGCACUUUGUGAUACAUAAGUGGGUUUUGGACUGCAGCUUGGGCACUCGGUCUGUAAAAGGUUCACCAUCCCUGCCUUAGACUCUUGCCUAGCCUGGUCCGUAGUGUAUGCUACAUGAACACCAGCUGUGGCUAUAUCCACUGUGUCCUUUUGCUUCUGCUUGACAGUGGUUGUUUUGGUGGAGAUUCUGGUGAGUAUCUAAAACAAAUAAACAUAAACAAACAAGAACUCCAUGGCUGGUAUUGAGAGCUGUAGAAGUUGGGGCUGUGUUUGGCUAUAGUGGCAGAGAUUUGAUCAUCUGAGUGUGUCCGCAGAGGGACCCAAGUUCCAGGGCAGUGUCCGUGGACUUGAAAAUUAGGAGAGUUUUGAACAAGGUGCUCAGUGACCUGGCUUCAAGUUUCCCAUCUGGAACAUGAGUGGGUUGCUCUGUGAGGCCUCUUCUACUACUAAAAAUUGCCAUUUUCCGUCCUGGAUAUUUUAAGGCUUUGAAGUCUUGGUAGAAAAGAAUCUAUGAAAAGCCACAAUCCUUGUGUUCUCUCCGUGGAUUUCAGUACAUGUGCAUCUAGUCCUUAUUGGGCUCAUGGCCUCCUCCUUGAACUCAGGUGGGGCUCAUGACCUGCUCCUCCAGUGGUGAUGCUAAAACAAAUGAAACAAAACAAAACACUCCUCCCAGGCACAAAGGCAACCCCCUUCCAGAUGCCUAACCCCUUAAACAAGUCUUCAGAUGGUACAGAGGGAUCAUCACUCCGCCUGGCGCUGAGACACAGCCAUCUCUCUGGAGUGAAAUUUGGCAGCUGUGUGAUAGUCAAGCUGCAGUACUUAUAUGACAGUUUGGGGAAAAAGAGUGAGACAGAAAUAGCAGAUUUCAAAAUAAUCCAAUUAAAACAGCAGGGAAAGUGGAGUUGGGCAACAAGAAGGGAGAACGAUCUGCCCCGGAGUCUGACUCCCUCCACUGUUCAGGCAGCAUGGACUGUGUCACUACUGGAAAACGGUGAUCACUACCAAGACCUCCUGCACGUACCCUGACAGGGGCUCAUCUGGUGUCCAUGAAGCCAUCAUCUCAUGCUCUUCUCCAUCCCUCUUCUCCCAGUAGUCUAAUUAUCGGCCUGUGUUGGGACAUAAAUAGAUCUAUUGUUAAAAAGCCACCUUUCCUGCUUUGCCCUGCACAGGAUAGUAGCAUAGUGAAGUAUUUAUGAGAUCAGACUGCACCAAGCUCAGAGUAGUUAUGGUGAAAUGUCUUCGCAUUGGCUCUGCAUAGACAGAUUAGGGAGGAAAACCCUUCUGUUCUUUCAGGGGUCUUGGUAACAGCAGUGAUAAGGAAGGGAGAUUCUAGAAAUAUAUUUGGGACUCGGGGUGUGUUUCAGUGGUAGAGCACUUACCUAGCAGGGGCAAGGCCUUGGGUUUCGCCGCCAGCAUCAUCACACACACGCACACACACACACACACACACACACAACUAUAGACAACUACAGUUGAGUAAAAAUGAGAACUCUAUAUUUUCCAUAAGAGUGUAUCCAUUGUGCUAAAUAUUAGAAUUAGAACAUGGAAGUUGUAGUAGAUAAAGUUGGAAAGUACUGAGUGAAAGGUACAUCAACAAUAAAAAAAAAACAACAAAGAAGAUUUGUGAACAGGUUUAGAGAUGAUUGGAUCAGUAGAGCACAGGACAUCAGCACUCUCAAAGGGAGAUGCCAGGGCCUACAGGCACCAGAUGACAAAGCAACCUGGGCAUUGCAGUUAAACCAGAAAGGAGAACUUUAGAAGGAAAGUGAGGGACUAAAGGUUUAGUUUCAUUUGGCACAUAAAACCUUAGGCAAUGAGUAGAGUUCGUGUAGUCAAAACUGUUUUAAAAUGGAACCAAAAAUGAAUUCAAGGAAAAUUUAGUAAAAUUCAUGUAAGUAGAAAAAAAAGAUUUGGUAUGAGAAAUCCUGGUUUUGAGUUUUAGAUCCGUAAUUUAUUAGCUUUGUGACCUUAGGGAAGUCACUUAAAUAUCUGAGACUUUUUUUCUGAUUUAUAAAAUAGUGGUAACUCUAAUCAUCAAUCUCACAAAGAUAUUGAGAAAAUCAGAUGAGAUACUCCAAAAUGUUUAAUGCACUGUGGGUACAUAGCUCAAUAGUAAUGCAGUUGCCUAGUGAAGUAAGCCUGAGGCACUGGGUUCAAUGUCCAGGACUGCAAAAAAAAGUUUUGUGAACUAAAAAGGCUUGUAUAUGUGCUUUCUGUAAAUCUGCCAUGUUUUUAUAAUAUGGAACAAACUCUUAGGGACAAUGACCACAUAUGAGAAUGAAACAGAGGACCAUUCACCUAGAGGAAAAAUCUGUUGUGUAAUAAUGUUUAAAAACACAUGAAUUCUUUUUCUCUCCUUUUCCUUUUUCUGGCCCAGAAAUUCUUUUAUGUUUAUAGAAUUUUUUCUGAAGAUUUUCUGGCAAGCUCUGUAACAGAGUGUCCACUCUCUUUGAGCUAUAAAUGGCAUGAUUUUAUAGUAAAUAUUGUCUAGGAAUAAACCCUUUAAUAACAAACUUAAGAAAAAUAUGCCUUCUUAUUUCAUUGAAUAACCCUCAUGUAGGGAGCUUUGGGCAGAAAAGGGGGGGAUCUGGUGAGUGGACCCCGGAGCAAGAGCCAUGUGAGUAGGAUGCUGAACCAUAGAGACUCAGAGUUGGGGAGGCCCAGCCUGGAGUGCCUGCCUUUACCAAGUGUGGGUUGGGGCGCUGAAGUUCCCUUUAUGCAUCAGCCCAUCUGUCUCAUUAGCUUCAGUCUCUUAAUCACAGAUCCACCAAGUGUCUACUUGUCUUUUUUUAGCUUUUUAUCUUAAUCUCCUAUAAAAAUUAACCAAAGGAAAUCAGCCGGCUCCUAUGCUAUUUGUAUGAAUUCUCAUGCAUGCCAGGGGGCGGGACAAGCUAUAUUUACAAAAGGACACUCACGUGGAGAUGAAUCUGUGUGCACAUGAGCAUAUUUGUGGGUGCAUUCAUGCAUUUGUGUGCAUGUGUACGGAGGCCCACAGACAUGUGUGUGUGUUGUGUUCUCUAACAUGGAAAAGACACUUUGACAUGAAUUAGGAAGGGUGAUAUGAAAUAGUGAGAGUGAAAUCCCUUCCUUGCAUUUACUGUGGUAAUUAAAGUACAUGAUGUAACAUUGUGUGUGCAGGAGAGAGUUGGCUUAUUCAUCGUGUGGAACAAUAGCGGGAGUUAAAUAUUAACAGGUUGAAGUGUCAAUAAGUGUCUCAGUAUAAAUCCUCUAUUGUGUGGUGAACUUAUAAGAAGGCAGUGUAUUUUAGAUGUGUCUCUGCUUGCUUGGAAUUCAGAAUGCUUUGAAAAAUGUUGCCCAGUGUAAUUUGCGGUAGAAAAUGUUCUGCGAUUGUUUGUUUGUUGUUCCUGGGGACAUUUGCAGGGCUGAACUAUCAGACAUAGAAAAGAACAGCUUUGUUUGGAAAAUAACAGUAGGAGUAGUACAAGAAAAUUGAAUUAAGCAGAGAAACAGAAAGUCCAUUUUUGAUUGAUGGUACUUCCUAUUUGCUGUCCAUUAUUCCCUGUGAAGGAAUAAAAACUAUGAAAUCAGAUUUGAAAACUGGAUUAAGACAAAUAGCUUCUCAGAUUUUUUUUUAACCUUAGCUGUUUCCACUUUUCUUAAUAAAGCAAAUAGUCACUAUAUAAAGAGGCUGUACUUACUACAUUGAAUCUUCUUUAAAAAUAUGCCCUUGGGGUUUGAUUUCAGAAAUCAGUUUAUGAGAUGUAGGAAAUGGGUCUGUUGGCUAGCAUUUGUCUCUAAAUAUUUAGUUAAUUAAUUAGUUUCUUCUCUAGGUAUUUUAAUGGUCACUUGUUUUAGAGUCAGCCAUGGGGUAAAGAAGGAAUCUGAACCCUGUUUCAUCUCAUGAAAGUUUUUUUUAUACUUGCCACCCUCCUGUUUUUCUCCAAAUAGCGUCUGUUCCCCUUUGGGCCAUUGCUGUGCUCUCCAAAUACUUUAGCAAAGACUUGUGGACACACAUGUCUCUCUGAACUCGGUUCCGAACCACUUGAAAGAAGCAAUUGUUUGUUUGUUGGUGUAACUCUAGCACCCCAAGCGAGACCCUAAGUACUGUAUAAUGUUGAAUAGAUAAAUGAAUGGGUGAAGCUAGCACCUGCUAUGUGUUUGUCAUCAUGUUAGACAUGAGGGACAAUUGUAAAAAGUAUGUGACAUUAUCCUGUCUGCUCCCAAAUGCUAUAAAAUCUAGUUGAGGCCUAGAACAGCUUGGGUAAUGGAAAAAAAUACUGGAUUGUCCCCCAAAGAAUAAAAUAAAGACCCAUAAGUCCAUACUACUACUAUAAAUACUACUAUAAAUAAGAACUACUAUACUACUAUAAAUAAAAACUGAGUAAAUGAAUAAGUGGGAGAAAGAGGAAAAUCUUCCAAUUAAUGGGAAAGGAAUGAGGGAGUAGAAAAGCAUCAGAAUCCAUAGUAAUGGUUGCCAGACGGAAGUUCUGCUGGUGGACGAAUUAGAUGUACAGAAGUGAAUUAAAUGGAUGAGAAUCAAGGGCAAAAGUUUAAGCUGAAGCAAGGUUUUUGUAAGUUUCAAGGCAUCUGCCCCCAAAACCUGUAGUAACUACGAAGAGAAACAUAUGGCAUUAUGGUGGAGAAUCCACUCAGAUACUGCCUUCCCGGAGUGGUCUCAGUAAAGUUAACCUCCCCAGGGAGGCACACAGGUAGUGUAUGAGCCCUUAACAUGAUGCUCUGGAAUGGGCUGAUUGUCACACAGCAUCUAAGGAGAAUCAAGAGAAAAUAUCAGGCAGACCCACCUGGAAGAGCAUUUUAGAAAAUAACUGAUCACUCUUCUUCAAAAGUGUGUAUCUACCAAUUCUCCACAGUGAAUGUAUUUAUUAUGUAUCACAAACAUAUACUAAUAAAAUGAAAGGGGAGGAAAAAGUAUCAGAGUCUUUAAGGAUAAAGAAGGACAAAAGAGCUGCCACCAACUGGUGGGGACAGAAAAAUAAGACUCCUGAUGCAGAAAUAACUGUUUAGAAGAACUGGUGAAAUCCUAAUCAAUUUCAUAGUUUAGUUACUAGUCUUGACAGGUUAGUUUUCUAGUUUUCAUCAUGUUCUAUGGUGAUGUCAGAUGUAAGGUGAGGCUAGAGGAAAGGUAGAAGUGAGUUUUACUAAUUUUGCAACUCUGGGACAGUCUAAGUUUUCUUUAAAGAAACAUAGUGGAAGGCCCAGUCCCAAUUCACGAGAACUAUUAUAGAGCAAUGCGUGACAGUCUGCGACUGAGAGAUUGGGUUGGGCCAGGUGGGGCUCCAGUGGGUGAAGAGAGGGGUGAAAGGCGGCAGGGGACGGGAGCGGUCAGUUAGCUACAAGAAGCAAAAGCUGAUGUAGAUCUGGAAUGGAAGAGCAGCAUCAGCAGAUGGAGCAAACUGAGUGGUCAUUCCAGGUUCAGUGACAGCAGUGAUAAAGAAUGGGGAAGGGGGACAGAUGGCCUUUGAGGGGUAUACCGGAGAUGCCAGCUGAGUCAUGUGCUGUUUUACUGGAGGUCAGUAAAAUAGAAAGUUGGGCUGCUCGGGGAAGCAGAGCUAGAGGUUCCUUAGGACCUGGCAGAGGGGUUGGAAGCUGGUGGAGCCCAUGAGACAGUGCCACAGACCCUUAUUUAGGCAAGUGACUCUGUGAGAUGGUCCACAUAGAUGCUCCUUGACUGACAGUGGAGUUGCAUCCUGAUAAAGCCACAAUGAAUUUGAAAACACCAAAAGUUAAAACUGUAUUUGAUACACCUAACCCACAGAACAUCCUAGCUUAGCAACAGAACACAGGGUAGAAUGUGGUCUUUCCUCUUGUGAUCGCAGGGCUCAUGGGGAGUUAGUGAUAGCUAAGGAGAUUUGGGGAGGGAGGCAAGGAAGGAAGAGGAGGUCACAUAUUCUAGGACGUUUGAAGCAGUAGAGUCAUUGAACUUAGUGACUAAUGGAUUUGGAGGGUGAAAAGGGAGGAGUCAAAGAUGAUUCCUGGGUCAUGCCUACAGACAGGUGAUGUUGGUUUAGGAAUUGGAAUAAUUUGCUCAGUAGCUAUUUGAAUGAUACUUUGAAGAAUACUAUAUUGUAGGUGAUGAUAGAGGGUUAAAAAGUGUGAAGACACAGUGUCUGUUUAUAUGUGGGUUUGUACACUGAAACAUGGAUCAGAAAGCCCAUGGCUAGCGCUGGACUGAAUGGAUGGAUGCGGGGCCAGGUGAGGGUCCCCUGAGGGGUCUCUGCCCUUCAGAUGAGAAGGAAGGCAUUGGUCUACUCCAUUCCGUUCCCAUCAGCAGCCACGGACACUGUAGGGAUAUCUUUAACAGUCACACUUCUUUCCCCUGGAUAAAGAUGGCAAACCUACUCUUGGACUUCUCUUAUACACAUAAAACACAAACACAAACAAAAAUAAAACACAAACAAAAAUCAUCAUUCUACUUAGGGAAAGCCCACACACACAUAGCCCCUCGACCUAAGAUAUCAGUCUGGAGGUCCCAAAGGUACCAAACAUGAAAGUGGAAGAUACCAAAAAGAGAACUUUGUAGAAGUAGAAAAGGUGCAUGCAUGCUUAAGUUGCAAGCUCCUCUUCUGUAAGAACCAUGUCUUUUCAAUGUAUAUAGUGUUUUCCAUUAAGGCUCUUCUGGGUAGGUCUUUCUGCUGUUCUCUUGGAUUUGUCCCCCACUCUGUGUUAUUUAAGAAACGCUUUAUCUAGCUUUUAUUCCCUUGUUUGUAUCAGUUACUUUAUAACUCUCCACCCAUAGCUUAAGGGUAACAAUGUAUUUUUUAAAAAUCUCCACAACAAGCGUCAGAAAUUUUAGCCUGUUAGGCCAUCCAGUUGGACUUAGUCUUGGGGACAAAUGGCUUUGCAGCCUGGGUAGCAUGAGGGCAGUGGGUGUAUUUACCUUGUGAGUACACAUUUGAUUACAUGGCAGUAAUUGGAAUUCUGUUUUGAAGGUCGUUGAAAAAAGGUCUCCAUUUCUCCCUUAGGCAACAUUAUAAGAUUGUUUCUUGACAAUUGAGUUCAUAUGCUUUCUUUGCUAUCAGUCAAUUAUUGAGCUAAAUCAACAUUUUAUUGACAAUGGGCUACUGAAAAGAAAGUUAACCCCAUUUCAUAGUUAAUUGUAAAUGGAAGUUAUUUGAUACUCUUAAAAAUAUGAAAUUGUAGAAGUUCUGAGUCUGCUCAGAAAUUGAACAUUGACCAUAGUCUUUGCAACCUGUAAACUUAAAGUUCAGAGACCUUUUUAAUAAUGGGAAUUUUCCAUGAACAAUGAAUGGGCUAUGGUGCAUUUAAAACAUGGCUUAAAUGGCAUUAUGUGAUACAAUAUGAAUUGAUGUUUUGUGCAGGAUAUAAAAAGGAGACACAUCUUUUGUGGGGUGGACAUUGGCAAUGGCAGAGAACCUUGUGAAGUGGCCUCUAAGGCCUCCCUUGUAGGCUUCCUGUGGAAGCACCUAUGUUGAAACUGGCAGGAUAAAGAAUCCUUUAUGUUCUUUUUAACUAAAUGUAUUGACUUCAGUAUUUUUUCAUAGUGAACGUAUUUCAAAAUUGUAACGGUACUCAAUGGCUCUGUAUAAAAGUUCUGUAAAAAAAAUGCAUUGUCUAAGGGCUCUUUCCACAGUGCCGUGUGCUUCUGUUUCCCUCCUGUCUCCAAGUGCCUGAUGAGGAUAGAGCACUCACUACACAGUCAGCACCACACCAUGUUUCAGGCUGUCUCUUUGGCAGCAGAAGUGGAAGUUGUGUGCUGAACUCAGGAAAGCAUUGUGACCUCAUUGUCACAGACAGUGCGAGGUAAAGGCUGGCAGGGUCCUUACCGAGCAGCCCUCUGUGGAGCUCCCUAGGACUGCGAAACCUCCAGGCCAUCGUUUGUCAGAGUCUUGGUAUUGGGCAUCCAACAGAGAUUGUUGCUCGUUCUCCUAGGGUGAGAGAACACAAUCAUUUUACCAAGCAGACUCUUCUAGAGGUGCAACAAUAUCAUGAGGGUGGAAGAAAUCAGAGUGGAGGGAGCAAGGACUUAAAGCUAAGGUUUAGAAUUAGACUAAAUCCAUUUCCAAUUAUAGCUGAAUUCAGAGUUCUCAUUGUUCCAUGUAGCAAGCAGCUAAACUCCAGCAUAAGGAGGAUGUUUACAAAGCAAGGCAUAGGAAAUGUUUACUUCUUUCCCUCUUUCAUGCUUAUCUUUCCUUUUAUGUCUCUGUUCUUCUCCCCUGUUAAAAAGAAGUUGAAGAAAUGGUGACUAGAUGAAUGGAUUAAGCUAGCAAGCUACUUUCCUCAAAGUUCAAGCAGUGUCACUUUUAUGGAUUUAGUCAUAAAAAUAAUCUAAUACUUCCUUUCUUGUCCAUAUUUUCGUCAUAGCUAGCUGGAAAUAAUAGGAAAAGAAACCUUCCCAGGAAGGAGAAAAAUGACCAAAAAAUCCUGUAUUUUACUCCAGAGGUGCAGUCCUGAAAUACUCAGAUCCCUAGUGACUUAGAGGGACACUCAAAGGAAGGUUAAUGAUUUAACAAGUUUCACUUUCCAGCUUCCCAAGUAGAUUGAAAAGUAUAAGAGGGCUUUCUAGGGUUAAAUAUACCAACCACCAUGAAGGAAGGAGAAAGCCUAUGAAAACUAGAAGCAUUAUAAAAUCUCAGCAGUGUAGGGCCAUUUAAUUUGAAGACAGUUCAGAGCAGAUGAGAGUAAGGAUCAUACCCUCUGCUGCCAUAAAGAGGAGAUGGUGGAGAGGGCAAGACUGUUGCAGGAACAACCCAACUGGUGGGGAUACAGUGGAAUGGGAGCUUCCUUUUUGAGCAUAUUAUCGUGCCUGGGGAUAUCCUACAGCCAGGGAAGGGUGCACGAAUAGGGAGAUGAUUUCUAGACCCAAGGGCCUUUCCUCUCAUGGCUCAGCCAUUCCCAGGGAUACUGGGAGACAUGAGGAUCUUCUGCAUCUGGCUAGCAAUUGGGAGGAGAGAGCAGCUGGUCUCAUUGGAGGUUCACUAAGGGAAUAGACAGGACUUAGUCACAUGGAAGUGGGUGAACUGCAGAUAGAGCUGGGAAAUGCCAGCCUGGAUACCAAGGAGGACAAAGAAACCAGUUGGUUGGACAACUCACCAGCGUCUGCCACAUCUGGAUGCUCCCUUGGCCUGGCGCUGAUAUUUCACUUGGUGCUGGCUGUGAAUACCUUGUUCACUGGAAGAUGUUCCCUCUGGCCAGGAACAUCAUUAAGCCCACUGAGUUGAUGUACAAGGACUCAAACUAUCUGGAUCUAAACUUCUAUCCCUGAUGUUUUCUUCAGGGGAGGAACAGUGAGCCAUCAUGGUUGACUCUGCAUGAAAAAUAAAUCAAAUACUACCACUAGAAGAUGGCACUGACACCAUGCUGGGCUUAGGACAGAAACCCUGCCUUUUAUCUAUGGCUGCUUCUUCUGGCUGCUCUUCCUAGGACUUGAGUCCUGUUUCUCUUCACUAUUACUAAAUUCCAAAGGAAUAUUCUGACAUUACCCAACUCCUUAUUAUUUUUGUUUGAUUUUUGAGUUUUGAUUUUUUGAGACAGAGUUUUGCUGUGCAGUCUAGGCUGGCUUUGAACUCACUGUGUAGCCCAGGCUGGCCUCCCAACUCCUGGUGAUCUUUCUGCCUCAGCCUUCCAAGUGGCCUUCCAGGCCACCAUGCCUGGCUCCAGUCCUCAUUAUUUGUGACAUCUCAGCAUUUGCAUUUUAUACUUAGGUCUUGUUUAUAUCCCAGUCAGUCUCUCAAGGUUGUACCUACUACUGUCAAACUCUGAAACAAGUCUUUACUGAACUCUUUGCUAGCCUUCAAUCAAGUUUGGGCCCAGGAAGCAGGGCUUGAGAGAGGGAUUGAGAGUUAACUAUAUAAAUUAUUUUGUGCUCUGUUAUGGGGUAGGAUAAAACAUUUAGGCAGUGGGAGAAGCAUGUAAAGAGAGGCAGCAGAUGCCAGAAAAACCUUCGGAGGUUCUCAGGGGACAAAAAAUAAACCUUCUCACCGAACUACUCCUGAUUUCUUCAGUGGCUGUUUCCUGCUGAACAUAGGAACAACUUGAGUGAGAGCUGUUAGACCUAUAGUUUGUCUACAUCAUGGGCCUAAUAGUUUUUGUUUGCCUUCCUGCAAAGCUAAGCACUAUUUAACUAUUAACAUGAUCUCUCUGAGAACAUUAGCAUGAAGUUCCAGAUAACUGAUUUACAAAUGAACUUUUCUGUGCGCAACCCAUUCAUAAAUUGGGGACAGCCUGUCCCGGACAUGCAAGCCAGAGAUAGCAUUUAUCUGUACUUUAUCUGUACGGGCUUGUCAAGUUGACUUAUAUGCACUUUUCUCUGCCCUCAGUUUGAUGAUAGCCUUGCUCUUAAAUUUUAAUACUCUCUUUCUGUUUGGAGAAACAUUCCCUUUGGAGAUGCUUCAAAUAUUCUCAUGAAUUGGAAUACUGAUUUUACCUCCUAAUUUAUCUUUAGUAAGAUUCAUGGCUAUGAACAUCUUUUGCACAGGCAAAAGAAAAACUGUAGAGAAGCUGAGAACUAUUUAAAGGAACUGAGGAGGAAAAGAAUCCUUUGCUAGUGUUGUUGUCAGAUAUCUUGCAAUAUAAUUACUGUGUUGGUUUUUAAAGGUUAAAGAACUCUGAGGUUUAGAAUUCUUUGUGUGUGUGUGUGUGUGUGUGUGUAUGCGUGUGGGUUCCACACUUAGAAGAGGGAAAGAAAUCCUACACAUUGAGGUAAAAGAGCUUGUUAACAUAAAAUUUCUGAGCACUUUAUAGUUUGUCGAGAAUAAUUCAUGGAUUUCAUAUUUGCUUUUACACAUAUCUGAUGAGUCAGUUGUUUGCCCCAUGGAGCCAAUUUGCAGACUGCAAACCCUGCUUAUUCCUAAUCUGCGUGCACGUGGAGAAAUACUCCUCUCGCCUGCAUCAGAUUGUGAAGUAAAAAGGUGAAGCUGAGUCCUGGAGAUGUUCCUGCUCGGAGAACUUAGUCUAAUGUACGAGUGAAAAUUUCCCUGUUGUUAGCAGAGCAGCUGACAGACUAUGAUCACAAAUGUUGCUGAUGCUGUUCUGUUAGGAGGUAGAAAUAGAACGGCGAGGACGCUAUGAGCUUGUCAGAGUGGGGCUGUCAGAGUGAUAUGCUUCCAUAUUAAAAAGCAGGCUUUGUCCCCCCCCACACACACACUCACUCUGUAAUGGUAAGAAACAUUUGUUUCAGCUGCUAUUCUGACUUGCAGUUACGCAUUCAGACUUCAAUGCUGGAGUAGUUAAAAUCUAGUGAAUAGCAGUCAUGUUCAGUGGUCUUUCCCUUCUGUUUAAAACAGUACCGCAGCUUGUGCAAGAAACAUUUUUAUGUAUUGUGUUGUAUCUUUUGAUGGUUUUUCUUUAGUGUCAGAACUAUCAGAAUGAUUUCAGUGUCAUGGUGUCUGUGCCAUUUCUAGUCAGCAAUUAUUUUUCCCCAGAUGGUCUUCGUAGGUUCCAGAUCACCUUUAAGUUUAGUGUUCAUUUGUUGACAAACGUGUUUGGAAGGGUUUUACAGAAAUUGAACCAUAAAACUGUGGUUGAAUACAAAGAAACCUUCAUACAUACAAGAAAGAAGCACUUUAUGAACUAUAGUGUAUUCUUUUUUAAAGUAAGGCAUUAUAAUGAAAUACUCUUAGGUUGUUACUGAGCAUUGAAUGCCAAAACAUAAAAGACAACUUUUAUUUUCCCAUAACAACACUAUUUAUAAUGUUACCCAAGUUACUAGAAGUUACUCUGAUGCUGUAAGGGUGUGUUUGGGGAAUCUAGCAUUAAAAAAUACCAAUGAAGGGGCCGGAGAUUUAGCUCAGUGGUUCUGCCGCCUGCCUCGCAAGCUCAAGGUCCUGAGCUUGAUCUCUGGUACCAAAAAAAAAAUGGAAACCAUUAGUUAAGGGGAACUCUGAAGUCACCUUUAAAAGGCCCUAUGAAAAACAUGCUCCUGUCUGGAAUAUUUUAACCCCACCCAGACACAAACAGAAUAGGACACUGAAUAACUUAUAUGGCAACAUUAAAUGUUGAGAGACAAAUAUAAAGUGUUAAGUUUAAUAGAUUCAUAUUUUAUGACCAAGUCAAGUUUAUAAAUGUCAAGGGUAUUUUUUCACGUAGAGAUACACGAGAGCUUUCUUCUUAUGGUUCAGCUUAAAUCUUACAGACCCACGCUUAAUUUCCAAUGCCCUGGUAACUUUUUGUCUUGUUUUAUAGCUGCUCCCUGUCCAGACCCAUGCUGUUCUGGGUUCCAGUAGUGCUUGGAUUCAUUUGUAGAUCACACUUACCCAAUGGAGUUCCCACCUCUCUGUAGAAAUUGGGCCCAGUGGUUACUUUUCAGUGCCGAAUGUGCUAGGCCUCUGUAGAAACUUCUGGGGUUUUUCUUUUGGUAUUGUUUUUGGUACUGGGGAUCGAACUUGGGUCCUUGCGCUUGUGCAGCAGGCGGCAAAACCACUGAGCUAAAUCCUCAGCCCAGAAGCUUCUGUUUUACAGCUGACACUCCACUGACCUGAGGAACCUGAUAUAAAACAUGAGGCUCCAUCAUUUGUUUUACGUCUUCAAUGCUGCACAUUUUAUGAAGAGGCUUUAACAUUUAAAGAGGCUUUAUUAACCCUGUGCAUUAAAAUGCUUUACCUGGAAAUUCUUGGAGAAAUGUUUUCAUAUUUAAUUCUUGGAAUGUUCAGAUAGCAAAGGCAGUUUUUAUUUUGUUUGUUUCAGUCUUGCUUUUUGUGGUCAAAAGCUAACAUUACUUAGAGACAUUUAAGUUCAUGUGGAAAUUAUUAUUAUAAUUAUUACUGUUGCAAUUAUGAUUAUUUUUGCAAAUGAAUUGGCAUGCUGAUUUCUUAAUGUCAGUGUUCCUUUAAAAGCACUGUUGGUUUUUAUGAGGAAGGUUGAUUUCCUGGAACUGAAAAUAUGAUGUUAGAGGUUGCUUUCCAAGCAGUUAUUGGCAUGUUUAUCAGAUAAAUCAAACAUGCAGUGGAGCAUGGAGAAUGAUUUUUCAAUACCUUCUCCUUGUGAUUUGUUCCCUAAAGACAAUAACAGUGCUUGUUAGGUGGAGUCCUUGGAAGAAACACGGCUUACACGCAGGGGCCCUGCCCUCAUGGUACGUGCAAGCAAAAAGCCAAUGCCCAGAGCCACCCCCCUCGAUAGUGCUUCUAAAUUUUAAAUUGGGCAUGAAAGACUUAUCUACCUUAAAGUGUUUGGCUGUGAAGAUCAAGUAGAGAUUGAUUUUUAACCACAGGGCUCAUAUUGCAGAAAAAGAAUGUAGUAUCUAAGAAGACAAGAGACCUCCCUAGAUUUAGCGAGAAUUUCUGCAGAGCCUGAGGCCGAGGUGCUGCAUCUUCUGAUACUCAUGAGUAAGGAGCUGCCAGAGUCCUACAUUUCAUCCAGUCCACUCCUAAGACCCCUCAGCCAGGGAAGAGGAAUGUUCUGUAGUUGGGAGCUGGGCGGGCCUUUUUAAAAAGGUACAGUGCAGUGCUUUUUAGUGUACUCACAAAGUUGUCUAACCCUAACCAGAAAACAUUUUAGAACCUUUUCAUCUCCCCAAAGGAAAUCCUGUACCCAUUAGCAGUCCCUUCUCAUUUUCUCCCAGUCUUCUAUGUUCGGCUUGGCAACCACAAAUCUGCUUUCUCUCUAUAUAGCUUUGCUUAUUCUAGACAUUUUGUAUAAAUGGCAUCAUGCAAUAUGUGGGCUUUUGUGACUGCCUUCUCACUUAGCAUAAUGUUUUCAAGGUUCACUCCUCUUGGAACAUGUAUCAAUAAUUCAUUCCUCAUUAGGAUCCAUUGUGUGACUACACCCUGGAGUCUAUCUGUUCGUCAGUUGAUGGGCAUUUGGGUUGCCUCCACUUUUUGACUAUUAUGCCAGUAACGUGUCUCUACAAAAACUUGUUACUUCCUUUCUCUGUGUAGCCUACUUUUAAGCAGUAAUACAUUAUGAUAGUAAACGGAGUUUUAUUUGCUUCACAACUGUUUCUUCUUUCUCCUUACCUUUCUCAUGCUCCCCGAAAUAGUUGUCAUUGAAAAUGUGGAGAAGAGUGAUCAUCUAGCUUUUUCUAAAGCACCAGACACUCUCCUAAGCAUCCUGCAUGUGUUAUAACAUUUCAGACAGCCCAGACUUUUCAGAUGCGGUGGCUGAGGGUUAGGAGGGCAAUAUGGAGCCUGCAGUCAUUCAGCUGGGAAGAUGGGGGAACUGGACCCACUUCACUUUUACUCAGCAAGGCCUCCUUUGUAGUAAUGCACCUCAGGCCGUGCAUCUGUUUCUUCCUCACAGAGUCCCUUUUCUUCUUGUGAGAUCCCUCUCCUUGAUUUGAUUGAGAAAAGUAAGGAACAGUUCAAUCCCUGGUAUCAAAAAAAAAAGAGAGAGAGAGAAAAGUAAGGAACAAGAUUCAGAGAUUCUGUCUUGUGCCCUUGGACUUCGACCUCCGUGUUGAAACGCCAUUGGGAACAAUAUUUUCCUCCACUUGAGUGAGGUGGUAUCAUGGAAUCCUGGCGCUGCCUGGUUCUCAGUUUAACCUGACUGCUCUCUACUCAGUCUCCACCUCAGCCCCCCGCAGAUACUGCCUCUCCUACAACCCGUGUGCAGGCUUGAACCAACUUCCCGUGGACCUUGCAAAAUCUUACUGUCUCAAAAUCUGCAGUUUCACCCUUUGAUCACUGCAUUUAAGAACAAGUUUCCUUUUCAGUAAUUAUUAUUUUUACUGUACCCAGAUAUAUGGGGUAGAGUGUGACAGCUCGAUACGUGUAUGAAGUAUGUAAGGAUUACAUCAAGGGAGUUAACCUUUCUAUCUCCUUCAAUAUUUCUUAAAGGUUUCAGGAACAUGUAAUAAUUGUCCAUGUUUAUGGGGUGCAGUGUGAUGUGUCCAUAUGUGUAGAUAAUCUGUCAGAGACAGUUGGGGUAAUCAGUGGUACCAGCUCCUUAUAGUAAUUUUGUUUACAACCCUCAUGCUCCUCUCUUCUAGGACUCAUAACAUAUAAAGCAGGCAGUUCCUUCCCUUCCUUGGAACCUAGUUGUCACCCUCCCCAUGAGCCCUCUCCUGUCCUUGGCUCCUCUGUCACUGUCAGCCUCUUUCGAACUCCGUUUCCUGGUCAGCCCUGAUGCCCUGGGUAUUGACAUCACUGUUUUCCUGGUAGUUUAGUGUCAUGGAGUCCUUUCCAGACACCAGCCCUGGGGGAUCCCCAUCCCCUGCCCAGGGGCUCAGAGGCCACAGACCCACUCCACCAGUCCUAAUAUGAAUUCCUGCUAUUGAGUCUGUGAUGGGUCUUCAUUGCUUCCCAACAUCCCUCUUCGUUCCUCUCUGCUGGUCACAUUUCUCAUGGGAUCUGGUCCAAACUUUUCCAAUGUCUUCAAAACUUGCUUUCCCUCCCACUUUCUGUAGAGGAACAUCAUUUCUUUUGCCUUUGAAAAUCCUGAGGGAACUCAUGUGUAUGAAGUGCAAUCAAAACAUGCAGUGACUGUUUACAAUGAAAAGAUAUUACAGUAAAAGACACAUUGCAGUGAAUCUCCCUCACUUUGAACACACUUAUCCCAUGAUUCUUGCCACUUUCUGAGUCAGUUCUUGGAGUCCUCUUUCCUGAAUGUGCUUAUGAAGUGUGAUCAAAAAAACUGAGUGAAAGUUACUGUCCAAGUGACAUCCAACAGAAAGGCAGACUUGUAAAGACAUUGUGGUGUUACCCCAGGUGUUACUCCAUGUGUUACUCACCUUAUUCACAAGAACUGGUACCAUACAACUGCUGGCUCUUCCCCAAAGUCAAAAUGACCAUGAAAGGUCAAUGUUUUGAAUCAGUUCAGGACAUCAAGGCAACCAGUACAGUGCAACUAAAGACACGAAAAAUGACUACCAGAACCGUUUCAGAGUGGAAAGAAUGAUGGAAAAUGUGUUCAAAACAAGGGGGAGCAUUUUGAAGGGGUUAAUGGCAAUAUGUCUUUUACUGUAAUUAUUUCUUUAAAAAUUUUGAAACAUUCACCCUAUUUUUCAGUCAUAUCUCAUAAAUCCUUUAACUCUCUUCUUGUUAAUUCCAUCCAUUACUCUGCCCUCAUGAUGUUAGAUGUACACAUUUGUCCCCUGCCAGGCUCACUGACCUUGGAGGGGAAGGAAGACCACCCCCUCCCGUAGACUGACUCACCCCCUG
rnacentral:lncRNA from 1 species